AAGUGAGCGCGACCCCGCACACGAAAACGGGGAAACACCCAUGCGCCGACAAAGGUACUCACUCCCGCGCACUGGGUAGGCGGAAUGCUGAGCGGCAUCGCCGGCAUCUGUCUGUGCGCGGUAGGCGGCACAGGUGGCGCUUCUGCCUGUUGUGCGGCAUGCUCCCGCAUGCCCUGACGUGUGUUCCUUCCCCGAUUGCCCGCGCAGCUCGAGCGCUGGCGGUGCGGCGCCGGUGGUGUCGGCGGAUUGUCGCGGCGGUGCCGUGCGUGAGGGCCGCGACGAUGGCUGUGCUUUUGUGUGCCGGUGUCUCCACCGGCGGUGCUGUGGUCGAUGUGUCUUCUGCUGUGUGGGCCUAUGGAGGGGGCUGGUGCUGGGCUGCGACGGUGCGUGGUGGGCGGUGCUGCAUCCCGCCCGCACACACACUGAGGCCGCCCCCCCUCCCCUGCGCACGCAGGUGCUGCUAGGGCAACGCCGAAACGAGAAUGACGCAGCGGGAGGCCCCCGUGCGGUAGGUUGUGCGACUGCGUGUCUUUGCACCGUCUUCCCUCGUCCUCGCGGUGCGGCGCGCGACUUGUUUGCAGCCGCGGCUAAACGAAGGGGGCGGGGCCAGUCGCGAGGAGGAGGACGCUGCGGGUGCGGGGGCUGUGUGCGGCGCGAGGGGUGGAGCGGGGCUGCCCGGAGGGUAGCGAGCAGUGCCCUCUGUCCUCUCUGCUUGCCCCCCCUCUCGUGCGCGCCUGUCUCUCCCUCGCUGCCGUUGCGGCGCGCGGCACAUCUGCCGGCCUCCUCUCCUGAUCCUUUUUGCCUGUGUGCAUGCCAGCCACUACUGGCCCAUGCGCUCCCGCUGUGCACGCCUGGCAGUCUCACCUGCCUGUCUCCUCCCCCUGCCUCCCCCCACUCUCUGUCUCUCCGGCCCUUCCCUCUCUCUCCUCGCCGCUUUCCACUCGCGCCCGCGCUGGCCAUCCGUCUUUGCCCUCUCGCCACACGCGCGCACAACCAAACGAACGCCGACAACGCGCGCGUGCACAUGCAACGGCGACACGUGCACGUCUGCAUAUCUGCAUAUGCUGUCAAG
rnacentral:misc_RNA from 1 species